UCACUCUCUCCCUCCAGCCCAGUCAGCCGUCCGCUCUGGCUGGUGUAGUGUCAUUCCCCCCCUACAGCUGAGGGAGCUUCUGUCUUCUGUUAACCCAGCGCUCCUUAUCCCCCCCUCUCUCUCACCCUCUCUCUCUCUCUGUGUUGUCCGCUCGGAGUGCUUUCCGUGGAGCACCACAGUCUUUAUCCCACUCCCGUCUCUGGCUUUACAGUGAGCCGUGAUCGGCUGCUUCAGAGCAACUUCUGCCUCCCUCGCUCAUCCUUCUUCUCUUGGUUUGCUAUGUCGGCAGAUUUUUCUCUUUCGCUUUUCUUUUUCUUCUUUGACCCCUGGCUUCUAAAGGGGUAACCACAGAGUGACAUCUCUUUUUGGAGUAGUUUUGUGCCCUGGUUUGAGUGUGUGUGAAUGAGAGUGUUUCAGAUUGCUUAAAUGCCUGAGCACGAGUGUGAGGGCGCAUGAGGGGAGAGUCUGAGGGAGAUUGUGUUUGACUCUCUGAGUGUGUGUGUAUGAGAGAGAGUAUUUGCUGUAAGAGUGCGCAUGUGCCGUGAUUGACCGCGCACUGUGUGUGUGCCAGUAUAUACGCUUUUGCGGGGGCAUGCCGAUCGGCUUGUGUGUCUCAGACAGUGUGUGUGUUCACGUCACACUGUGACUGCUGUGGUGCAUCUCUGGGGGGAGGAGGAGAAUAGGAUAUGAGCGGGCCUGGGCAGUGCUAGAGGGCCAUGCAGACUCUGAGCAGGCUGCAGACCUGUGGCACUCGUGAGAUGAUGGCCAUGGUCCGCACCUCCCUUCAGAAAGUGGUGGUCUUCCUACACAGGCUCCAGAGAAUGGCCAUCUCAUCCCCACGUUAUCACAAACUCUGCAAGGAUAUCCAGGCAGAGAUCGAUGCCCAUAAUGAUAUCUAUAAGAGUGUGGACGGGAACAGGCCCAAGAUGGUCAAGGCCCUGGGGACCUCUGAGGAGGCAGUGUUUCUGCAGCACCGGCUGGACGACAUGAACCAGCGCUGGAGCGACCUCAAGACCAAAUCUGCCAACAUACGGGCUCACCUGGAGGCGAGUGCGGAGCGUUGGAGUCGUCUUCAGAGCCUGCUGGAGGAGCUGUGGAGGUGGAUCUGUCUGAAGGAGAAGGAACUGGCCAAACAGAUGCCCAUAGGAGGAGAUGUCCCCACCCUGCUGCAGCAGCACAACCACUGCAAGGUGUUGCAGUCGGAGCUGAAGGACCGCGAGCAUGUUGUGGCCAAUACACUGGACCAGGCACACACAUUCCUGGCUGACCAGCCCAUCGAGGGGCCGGGAGAACCAUGCAAAAACCUACAGCCCAAAACAGACCUGACUCCAGAGGAGAAGGCGCAGGGUGUAGCCAGGGCCAUCAGGAAGCAGACAGCGGAGGUGCAGGAGCGUUGGGAGCGUCUGCAGGACCACGUGGGUGGAUGGCAGAGUCAGGUAGAAAGGGCAUUUGAGAGGCUACAGGAGCUCCAGAGCAACAUGGACCAGCUGGACCUGUGGCUAGCCAGGGAUGAAGAGACCAAGGCUGGCUGGCAGCCUGUAGGAGACCUGCUCAUAGACUCACUGCAGGACCACAUAGAGAAGACCACGGCUUUCAAGGAGGAGAUGGCCCCUCUGAGGCAGGACGUGCAUGUGGUGAAUGAGCUGUCUGGUGAGCUGGCUCCUCUGGAUGUCCAGCUGUCCUCCACCUCCUCCAGACAACUGGAUGACCUCAACAUGCGCUGGAAACUACUACAGGUGGCCAUUGAAGAGAGACUAAAGCUCCUUCAGGAAGCCCACAGAGACUUUGGCCCUUCCUCCCAGCACUUCCUAUCCACCUCUGUGCAGCUCCCGUGGCAGAGGGCGGUCUCUCAGAAUAAGGUUCCGUACUACAUCAACCACCAGACUCAGACUACCUGCUGGGACCAUCCAAAGAUGACAGAGCUCACCCAAUCGCUUGCCGACCUAAACAACGUGAGAUUUUCCGCUUACAGAACAGCCAUGAAAAUCCGCAGGCUACAGAAAGCACUAGGCUUGGACCUGUUGGACCUGAACGUGGCCCAGAGCACAUUCGAACAACACAAGCUUACCCAGAAUGCCCAGCUGCUGACAGUGCCUGACGUGAUCAACUGUCUGACAUCCAUCUAUGACGGGCUGGAGCAGCAGCACAAGGACCUGGUCAACGUUCCGCUGUGUGUCGACAUGUGUCUCAACUGGCUGCUAAAUGUCUAUGACACUGGACGCAGUGGGAAGAUUCGUGUCCUGUCCAUGAAGAUAGGAUUGCUCUCGCUCUCCAAGGGCCAUCUGGAGGAGAAAUACAAAUACCUGUUCAGUCAGGUGGCAUCGUCAGGGGAUAGGUGUGACCAGAGACAGCUGGGUCUGCUGCUCCAUGACGCUAUCCAGAUACCACGGCAACUAGGAGAGGUCGCCGCCUUCGGAGGGAGCAACAUCGAACCCAGUGUCCGGAGCUGCUUCCAACACGUGACCAAUAAGGUGGAGCUGGAGCCCAGGCAGUUUGUUGAUUGGAUGAGACUGGAGCCCCAGUCUGUGGUGUGGCUUCCUGUGCUACAUAGAGUGGCGGCUGCUGAGACCGCCAAGCACCAGGCCAAGUGUAACAUCUGUAAAGAGUGUCCCAUUGUAGGGUUCAGGUAUCGCAGUCUGAAGCACUUUAACUACGACGUGUGUCAGAGCUGCUUCUUCUCUGGACGAACCGCCAAGGGCCACAAGCUCAACUACCCCAUGGUGGAGUACUGUACGCCGACCACUUCAGGUGAGGACAUGCGUGAUUUCACCAAGGUGCUGAAAAACAAGUUCCGCUCCAAGAAGUACUUUGCCAAGCACCCCCGCUUGGGCUAUUUACCAGUCCAGACUGUUCUUGAUGGAGACAAUAUGGAGAUUCCCGUCACUCUCAUCAGCAUGUGUCCGGAGCAGUAUGAACUGGCUCAGAUGGAACGUUCCAAUGGUUCUCUGCUCACUGACAGCAGCUCAGCUACAGGAAGCAUGGAUGAUGAGCAUACUCUGAUCCUGCAGUACUGCCAGACCCUAGGGGGGGAGGUGUCUCUCUGCAGCCAGCCCCAGAGCCCCGCCCAGAUCCUACAGGCCGUGGAGAGAGAGGAGCGGGGAGAGCUGGAGCGAAUCAUCCAGCGUCUGGAGGACGAGCAGUGGACCCUGCAGAGGGAGUAUGAGCAGCUGAAGGAGCAGCACGGGGGUAAGCAGGGGCCUGGUUCUGUGGGGCUCUGGGACCCUGAGGGGUCAUCUCACUCCAGGGGUCCUGACGAGGCUGACCUGCUGGCUGAGGCCAAACUGCUCCGGCAGCACAAGGGCCGUCUGGAGGCCCGCAUGCACACACUGGAGGAGCACAACAAACAGCUGGAGUCCCAGCUCCACCGGCUCAGACAGCUACUGCACCAGCCGGAGAUGGACUCCAGGGUGAAUGGAGUGUCGUCCCCCAGCAUGCAGGAACGAAGGGCCCUCACCGAAAACACAGAUGAGCUGUUGUACCACUCACACAACAGAAGCUCUGACAAGUCAGACGUCUUGGAACAGAUCAACAGCACUUUUCCUGCGUGCAGUCGUAAAUCCUCUAACUCUACCUCCCUUUCAUCUUUUCUCUGUUUACCUCCCUCUCCUCUUACCUUUUUCAGGGCAAGAGGAGUUUAGUUUAAAAGUAAUCUACAGGGUGCUGUGUGGGUAUCAAUACUGGUUUACUGCUCACCUGGCAAGCACAGCGGCUCAAAGAUUUCAACAAUGAUCUCAACAACACUAAUAGAUAAUGAACUCAGCAAAAAAAGAAACGUCCCUUUUUCACGACCCUGUCUUUCAAAGAUAAUUCGUAAAAAUCCAAAUAACUUCACAGAUCUUCAUUGUAAAGGGUUUAAACACUGUUUUCCCAUGCUUGUUCAAUGAACCAUAAACAAUUAAUGGACAUGCACCUGUGGAACGGUCGUUAAGACACUAACAGCUUACAGACGGUAGACUUAUCACAGUUAUGAAAACUUAGGACACUAAAGAGGCCUUUCUGCUGACUCUAAAAAACACCAAAAGAAAGAUGCCUAGGGUCCCUGCUUAUUUGCGUGAACGUGCCUUAGGCAUGCUGCAAGGAGGCAUGAGGACUGCAGAUGUGGCCAGGGAAAUGAAUUGCAGUGUCCGUGCUGUGAGACGCCUAAAGACAGCGCUACAGGGAGGUAGGACGGACAGCUGAUAGUCCUCGCAGUGGCAGACCACGUGUAAAAACCCCUGCACAGGAUCGGUACAUCCGAACAUCGCACCUGCGGGAGAGGUACAGGAUGGCAACAACAACUGCCCGAGUUAUACCAGGAACACACAAUCCCUCCAUCAGUGCUCAGACUGUCCGCAAUAGGCUGAGAGAGGCUGGACUGAGGGCUUGUAGGCCUGUUGUAAGGCAGGUCCUCAUCAGACAUCACCGGCAACAACGUCGCCUAUGGGCACAAACCCACCAUCGCUGGACCAGACAGGACUGGCAAAAGGUGAUCUUCUCAGAAAAGUUGAGGUUUUGUCUCACCAGGGGUGAUGGUCGGAUUUGCAUUUAUCGGCGAAGGAAUGAGCGUUAGACCGAGGCCUGUACUCUGGAGCAGGAUUUGGAGGUGGAAGGUCCGUCAUGGUCUGGGGUGGUGUGUCACAGCAUCAUCGGACUGAGCUUGUUGUCAUUGUAGGCAAUCUCAACGCAGUGUGUUACAGGGAAGACAUCCUCCUCCCUCAUGUGGUACCCUUCCUGCAGACUCAUCUUGACAUGACCCUCCAGCAUGACAAUGCCACUAGCAUACUGCUCGUUCUGUGCAAGAUUUCCUGCAAGACACAAAUGUCAGUGUUCUGCCAUGGCCAGGGAAGAGCCCGGAUCUCAAUCCCAUUGAGCACGUCUGGGACCUGUUGGAUCGGGGGGUGAGUGCUAGGGCCAUUCCCUCCAGAAAUGUCCGGGAACUUUCAGGUGCCUUGGUGGAAGAGUGGGAUAACAGCUCACAGCAAGAACUGGCAAAUCUGGUGCAUGUCAUGAGGAGGAGAUGCACUGCAAUGCAGCUAGUGGCAACACCAGAUACUGACUGUUACUUUUGAUUUUGACCCCCCCCCCCCCUUUUGUUCAGGGACACACUAUUAAAAUUCUGUUAGUCACAUGUCUGUGGAACUUGUUCUCACAAAGUUGUUUCUGUAUUUCUUGUAGCUUCAAGCCUCUCCUCGAGACCACAGGUGAUGUGAGGACCCCACAGAAAGUUCCUUUCGGAGAGACAGAAACAUCCCCCAAACACACCGCUUAUACGCUCUCCCUCGCUUCACUUUUCUGGAGGACAGACGAGAGCUAGAGCCCCUAGCAAGAGACGUCCCUAAAACCCAAAGACAUACAGAACUUUACUGCUAUUACCACGUCGUCGUCGUCUAGUACUAUGCAAAAUGUACAUUUUAUGAACUGUAGAUUGUACCUGGAGUCGGUUAAACGUUUGUCAGUGAUUUGUAAGAACACGCCGAUUGCUAUGGAGUUCGGCUUUGUAUAAGAGCAUAUGCUUUCUGGGGAUUUUUUUUGUUGCUUUUGUUUUGUUCUGCUUUAACUGGGAAUCAAACUGUUUACAUUGUUGUUAUUCCACUGCUCCCCCUCUGCUUGUACCCUCUGCUGUCAUCACGAUGGACAUGUUCGCUGUUUUUCUCUCUGAUUUGGGAAAGAGAAGGCCCAAUUUACGAUUAUCGCCUCAAAUGAUCAUUUUAGACAAUCGGCUGUGUCAGUCCUUGAAGCGUCACUUUUGUUUUGAAAAUAUUUUUCCUCUUUAAAGCGUUAAUAAAGCUUUUCUGUCGGAGUUGUCAUGCCGGUCGCAAUUGCAAUGUAAACUUAACCCCUUCUGUGCCUAUACAGUUGUCAUUCCAAGUGUGGCAGACUGGUUUAACGUUGUAGUAGUUAAGUUGGAUUGUUGUAUUGAGGCGAGAUAGUGGAAACAAUAAAUGAAUUGAAUUGGAAGCUGUUCAGAAAUAAUCGGGUUUGUAAGUGGCAAUUGUAAGAGGUCAUUGUGUAGAAUCGUUUUAUAAAUCGAUGUAAAUAAAAUUAGAAAGCCAUGAUUGCCUUGCUACCUCAGACACAAACACCUUUUCAUUUGCGUGGUCUGUAACUUGUUUCAUUUCAAUUUGACUGUACUCGUGACAAGAAAACGAACCGAAAAAACAUUCGAAGUGUGUUACUUAUAGAUGUGUACUGCUUUGUUGAGAUACCUAGUAGACAAAACACAUCCUAUUACUUCACCACCGAUGGGUCUGUGGCCUGCUGCCCCUCAUCAGUAUACUGUGUCUGUGUGUGUUGAUUUUCCCUUGUCAGACCAUUAGCACUGGUCUUUCUCAGAGUUACUUGUCGUGUUUUGUGCUUUGCUAUCCUGUAAAACGUGUUCGUUUUAAUAACACUACUAUAACCUCCUCCAACUAUGUCCUUGGACUGAUGAUGAUAGAGAUGAUGAUGAUGAUGAUGGUCUUUCCUGAGGUAUGUAGUAUAAAUGGACCACACUACAUGUAAUAUGGCUACAUAUGUUUUAUUCUAAAUACAUUUUUACAACAGC